rnacentral:lncRNA from 1 species
AUGUUCACAAGACGCUUCUCUACGCUGCUGGGACUUUUUGGAUGGUGUAGUUGUGUAAAUCUGCAUCCAGAGGUAAAAGUUGCUGAAAGCUCAUUUUCCAUAGGGAUGGAAUUCAGGCCAGUACUGAUAAUCAUUUUAAAAUGUUAUGAGUGAUAUUAAAUCAAUACUAUUUAGUCUUAAAUACUAAUUAUGAGCUAAAACUAAAAUCAAUAAAUUGUCAAUGUCUAUUCAGUGUUGUCAUGCUUCAUUUCGGCAUCACGGCAUUGUCAUUUACAGUAUGAAAUAUGCAUAACUAUUCAUUAUUAGAUGAAUAUUUAAUGAGAAAUUUGAAUGUUUUUCAUGAGAAAGACUCAAAUAUAUUCCCUAUAGGCUCAUUAUUAUAGUAAAUGACUCUUUUUAAAGUAAUUAGUUCACCCAAAAAUGAACAUUUUUGAGCA